CUCCCCACCCUUUUUUUUAAACCUGCAAGAGAGAUAUAUUUUUUUAUAAGGUAUAAAGGUGGACUUCAGGUUAAUGCAGUGACACUAGAUCUCAGUUUGAUUAGACAGGCAUGGAAAAAUGAGAAUUGUUUUUAUCAGCUUUGUCAGUUGAGCAUCUGGUGAUGCCUAGGGGGUGACUAGCAUAGUGCAUUGAAAAUUAAUUGACUAUCAACUUCACAUUGCUCAUUCAGAGCCCCACAAACGUUUAUUAUUCAUGAUGUAUAGCAUCCUUCCAGGUGUUGGCCAGACCCCACUGAGAUUAUGGUGCAGAAGGCAGAACAAGGAACACGUGACGGGGGUUAAGACUGCUGUUGACUGCUCGCCGUCCUGUCUCAGACUUGCUCUUUGGCUCUGCACAAAGUGUCUCCUGUCCUUUAUAUGUAAAAUGGAUGCACUAAAACAGACUAACUUUUCAGUGAAUUAGCAUUUGAUCAAAUUUAAUUUUUACAUCCUUGUGUAGAAAUAACUAAAUGGCAUUAUUUACCAGCUGUUGUACUAUUUUUUCAUUACUGAAUGGAGUUCUUGGAUGGAUAUGUCGUAUUAUAAUGACUGACUUUAUUACAAAUUUUGGUUUUCUGCUUUCUUAAUGUAGGCCUUUCUGCAUGGCAGCAGUUUUCUGUUAACUAGUAUGUAUUAUAGAACUAUGCUUCUGGAUUAAAUAUAUCACGUUUUUAUAGUCUGUCUCCUUUGGAGUUGACAAGAAAUGGAAGCACGUUGAUGUGCACCAGGAAAGGGCGUUGGGAAUCGCUGGAGUGGUGUUACCGGUUAGCUUUGUUCCUGCCUUGGGAUUGUGGACAGGAGCCUGACUUCUCCAUGUAUCCUCCUUUCCCUGCAGGUAUUGAGAACUUGCCAUUUGAAUUGCAGAGAAACUUCCAGCUCAUGCGAGAUCUGGAUCAGAGGACGGAAGACCUCAAGUCAGAGAUCGAUAAGUUGGCCACGGAGUAUAUCAGCAAUGCGCGGACUUUGUCUUCGGAGGAGAAACUGGGGCUUCUCAAGCAAAUCCAGGAGGCCUAUGGGAAAUGCAAGGAGUUUGGCGACGACAAGGUUCAGCUGGCUAUGCAGACCUACGAGAUGGUUGAUAAGCACAUCCGUCGGCUGGACACAGACCUCGCUCGCUUUGAAGCAGACCUGAAGGAGAAGCAGAUAGAGUCGAGUGACUAUGACAGUUCUUCCAGCAAGGGCAAGAAGAAGGGCCGAGCCCAAAAAGAGAAGAAAGCUGCCCGUGCUCGUUCGAAAGGGAAGAACUCUGAUGAGGAAGCGCCAAAAACUGCCCAAAAGAAGCUGAAGCUUGUCCGCACUAGCACAGAGUAUGGGAUGCCCUCGGUCACCUUUGGAAACGUGCACCCUUCGGAUGUAUUGGAUAUGCCCGUGGACCCCAAUGAGCCUACUUACUGCCUCUGCCACCAGGUCUCCUAUGGGGAGAUGAUUGGCUGCGACAACCCAGAUUGUUCCAUUGAAUGGUUUCAUUUUGCCUGCGUGGGUCUGACAACAAAACCAAGAGGAAAAUGGUUCUGCCCUCGCUGUUCCCAGGAGAGGAAGAAGAAGUAAAAUCCCGUGAGCCCUCAGUACUGCUGCAGGAGCUCUCUUCCCCCUGCCAGGGCCUCGUCCCAGCUCCCCCAGCCCUUGGGGCCUUGGCUGGGGGGAGUCUUGCCCUGUUUGUGGUUUGGGCCAUCCCUGGAAUGGUCUCUGAACCUCAAAGGGAAUGAAUGAGGGCACCAGGGUAGCCACCAGAUUCCCAGGGAUUCAGGUAGCCCCUGAUUUUCCUUGGCUUUCCCUCAGCCUCCUCAGAGUUCAUUGCCUACUCUCUGCUUAGAGAACAAGGCUAUGGGAUGGGGGAAGGAAAGGAGGUAAGUCUUCAGCAUUUUAGGUCUUUGAUUUUCCUGGAUCUUGUUCAGGAGAGAGGGAGUAACCAGGCCACUUCUUAAUCUAGUGGGCUGGUUGAGAGACUGAAAUCCUAAUGUACUCCCUAUCUUUAACCAUUCCACUGCUGUCAUUGAGUGGCCUCUUUUGUUGGGGAGAGGAGGAGGAGGGAGUGUUUAGAGCUAGCUUUGUCUCUCUUAUUCCUGGGGUAAACCUGCUGGUCUGGGAAGCACAUUGUAUGAAGGAGGAAGAAUUUCUGACCAUAUGGGGAGAAAUGGCUUGAUCUAGCCUGUCUUCCAGCUCCAAAAUUCUGCCUUCCUUUUGUGCGGUGGUGCUUCUCCAUUAUGUUGACGAUGGGAAGUUUGGGGAUUCAGAUCCCGCUUGUAUAAUACGGAAUUAAAUAAAGUUCAUUGAAACAAA